rnacentral:rRNA from 1 species
GACGAACGCUGGCGGCGUGCUUAACACAUGCAAGUCGAACGGAAAGGCCCUGCUUUUGUGGGGUGCUCGAGUGGCGAACGGGUGAGUAACACGUGAGUAACCUGCCCUUGACUUUGGGAUAACUUCAGGAAACUGGGGCUAAUACCGGAUAGGAGCUCCUGCUGCAUGGUGGGGGUUGGAAAGUUUCGGCGGUUGGGGAUGGACUCGCGGCUUAUCAGCUGGUUGGUGGGGUAGUGGCUUACCAAGGCUUUGAAGGGUAGCCGGCCUGAGAGGGUGACCGGCCACAUUGGGACUGAGAUACGGCCCAGACUCCAACGGGAGGCAGCAGUGGGGAAUCUUGCACAAUGGGCGGAAGCCUGAUGCAGCAACGCCGCGUGCGGGAUGACGGCCUUCGGGUUGUAAACCGCUUUCGCCUGUGACGAAGCGUGAGUGACGGUAAUGGGUAAAGAAGCACCGGCUAACUACGUG